AGAGACAGCAGUCGCCGCGGGAAAACGGAGGGUGCAAGCGUUAUCCGGAUUUAUUGGGUUUAAAGGGUCCGUAGGCGGAUCUGUAAGUCAGUGGUGAAAUCUCACAGCUUAACUGUGAAACUGCCAUUGAUACUGCAGGUCUUGAGUAAAUUUGAAGUGGCUGGAAUAAGUAGUGUAGCGGUGAAAUGCAUAGAUAUUACUUAGAACACCAAUUGCGAAGGCAGGUCACUAAGAUUUAACUGACGCUGAUGGACGAAAGCGUGGGGAGCGAACAGGAUUAGAGACCCCAGUAGUCCCUGUCUCUUAUAC
rnacentral:rRNA from 1 species